AAAAAAGAAAAAAGAAACCACUUUCUUUGCUUGUCCAUAAAAAGCAAUGUUUCAUCUGUUCAAGUUUUAUCAUAUUACAACAGAACUAAUUCUAGUUCUAUUGCUGUCUCUACCAUAUCUGCAGUUACUUCCUCCUCUUAAGUCCCAAACUCUUCAAAGUCAUCCAUGAGGGUUGGAAUCAACUUCUUCCAAACUGUUAAUGGUGACAUUCUGACCUCCUCCCAUGAAUCCUGAAUGGUCUUAACAGCAUCUAAAAUGAUGAUAGAUCCAUGAUGCAUAGUUACAGGAUAUGAGAAUUCACUGUGAAUCCCCCAACCACUGAGGAUGGUAUCACGAUGAGCAACGACCAUGCAGUCCCAUGAAAUGUCCCUCAGCAUCACAACCAGCAGCUCAUCCUGUCCUUUCCCUGCUCCAGCUAUGGAAUCUACCAUAUCUCCAAAGAAUCCUGGAAGAGCCUCUCCUGAGACAAAAUCAUAUACUGUCUAAUUGUAAAUGAACUACCAAGCAACUGUUAAAGGAAAGAAGUACAGAAUCGUAUGGAUGCCAAAGAUUGCCAGCUAAUAAAAUGUCUUAAUUUGCUUGCUUCUUUAAAAAAUCCA
rnacentral:lncRNA from 1 species